rnacentral:lncRNA from 10 species
GAACUCUAGAGCGACCCAAAUGUUUGCAUUUCUAACAAGUUCCCGGAACUGCUGCUUUCGUACAAUACUUCAGGAACUUCUUCUUUAACUCGUAUAAUAUGCUUAAGGAGGUUUCAAAAGAAGCGAUGUUUUCAACUAAACUAUAGAAACAGCAAGAAAGUUAUCUGUGUUUUCUAGCUUCCAAGAAAACCUUUGACCAGCCUGUUACCAUCAGAGAUUCUGUGAGAAGACAUUAUAAAAGCUACUUCCCGUAUGCAUAAUAUUUAUUAUUUGCCUAAGUAUUUCCUCCAAAUAUUAAUGUAAUCUGCUUGCCUCAUAAAAAGAACAAAUGCCAAAUACUUCUUUUAUUAUUUUAGCUUACAUCCUAUCCUGGCAACAGACAUGGUUAACUAGGUUAUUUCUAUGCCCUUUCCUCUGAGUCCCAC